rnacentral:rRNA from 1 species
UACAGAGGGGGCAAGCGUUGUUCGGAAUUACUGGGCGUAAAGGGCGCGUAGGCGGCCUUCUAAGUCGAACGUGAAAUCCCCGGGCUCAACCCGGGAACUGCGUCCGAUACUGGAAGGCUUGAAUCCGGGAGAGGGCGUAGAAUUCCCGGUGUAGUGGUGAAAUGCGUAGAUAUCGGGAGGAAUACCAGUGGCGCAAGCGGCGCCCUGGCCGUGACCUGACACUGAGCCACGACGGCGUGGGGAGCAAACGGG